GAAAUGCGAUAAGUAAUGUGAAUUGCAGAAUUCAGUGAAUCAUCGAAUCUUUGAACGCACCUUGCGCUCCUUGGUAUUCCUUGGAGCAUGCCUGUUUGAGUAUCAUGAAAUCUUCAAAGUAAAUCUUUUGUUAACUCAAUUGGUUUCUACUUUGGUAUUGGAGGUCUUUGCAGCUUCACACCUGCUCCUCUUUGUUCAUUAGCUGGAUCUCAGUGUUAUGCUUGGUUCCACUCGGCGUGAUAAGUUAUCUAUCGCUGAGGACACUGUAAAAGGUGGCCAAGGUAAAUGCAGAUGAACCGCUUCUAAUAGUCCCUUGACUUGGACAAUACUUUUAUGAUCUGAUCUCAAAUCAGGUAGGACUACCCGCUGAACUUAAGC
rnacentral:misc_RNA from 1 species